AUCAGUGGAAAAACUACCAAAGGUCCAGACACUUGGUGGUUUUAUUUUGAGAGUCAAAACGUAAUAAUAAUCCAACUUGGUCAUGUGUCCAUAAUGUC